rnacentral:rRNA from 1 species
AACCUGCCCAAGAGAUCGGGAUAACACCUGGAAACAGAUGCUAAUACCGGAUAACAACAGAUGAUGCCUAUCAACUGUUUAAAAGAUGGUUCUGCUAUCACUCUUGGAUGGACCUGCGGUGCAUUAGCUAGUUGGUAGGGUAACGGCCUACCAAGGCGAUGAUGCAUAGCCGAGUUGAGAGACUGAUCGGCCACGUUGGGACUGAGACACGGCCCAAACUCCUACGGGAGCAGCAGUG